GUCGAGCGAAUGGAUUAAGAGCUUGCUCUUAUGAAGUUAGCGGCGGACGGGUGAGUAACACGUGGGUAACCUGCCCAUAAGACUGGGAUAACUCCGGGAAACCGGGGCUAAUACCGGAUAACAUUUUGAACUGCAUGGUUCGAAAUUGAAAGGCGGCUUCGGCUGUCACUUAUGGAUGGACCCGCGUCGCAUUAGCUAGUUGGUGAGGUAACGGCUCACCAAGGCAACGAUGCGUAGCCGACCUGAGAGGGUGAUCGGCCACACUGGGACUGAGACACGGCCCAGACUCCUACGGGAGGCAGCAGUAGGGAAUCUUCCGCAAUGGACGAAAGUCUGACGGAGCAACGCCGCGUGAGUGAUGAAGGCUUUCGGGUCGUAAAACUCUGUUGUUAGGGAAGAACAAGUGCUAGUUGAAUAAGCUGGCACCUUGACGGUACCUAACCAGAAAGCCACGGCUAACUACGUGCCAGCAGCCGCGGUAAUACGUAGGUGGCAAGCGUUAUCCGGAAUUAUUGGGCGUAAAGCGCGCGCAGGUGGUUUCUUAAGUCUGAUGUGAAAGCCCACGGCUCAACCGUGGAGGGUCAUUGGAAACUGGGAGACUUGAGUGCAGAAGAGGAAAGUGGAAUUCCAUGUGUAGCGGUGAAAUGCGUAGAGAUAUGGAGGAGCACCAGUGGCGAAGGCGACUUUCUGGUCUGUAACUGACACUGAGGCGCGAAAGCGUGGGGAGCAAACAGGAU
rnacentral:rRNA from 1 species